GUAGGGAAUCUUCCGCAAUGGACGAAAGUCUGACGGAGCAACGCCGCGUGAGUGAUGAAGGUUUUCGGAUCGUAAAGCUCUGUUGUUAGGGAAGAACAAGUGCGAGAGUAACUGCUCGCACCUUGACGGUACCUAACCAGAAAGCCACGGCUAACUACGUGCCAGCAGCCGCGGUAAUACGUAGGUGGCAAGCGUUGUCCGGAAUUAUUGGGCGUAAAGGGCUCGCAGGCGGUUUCUUAAGUCUGAUGUGAAAGCCCCCGGCUCAACCGGGGAGGGUCAUUGGAAACUGGGAAACUUGAGUGCAGAAGAGGAGAGUGGAAUUCCACGUGUAGCGGUGAAAUGCGUAGAGAUGUGGAGGAACACCAGUGGCGAAGGCGACUCUCUGGUCUGUAACUGACGCUGAGGAGCGAAAGCGUGGGGAGCGAACAGGAUUAGAUACCCCAGUAGUCC
rnacentral:rRNA from 1 species